rnacentral:rRNA from 1 species
UACGAGGGUGCAAGCGUUGCUCGGAAUUAUUGGGCGUAAAGGGUAGGUAGGUGGUCUCAUUUGUCUGGGGUGAAAGCCUUGAGCUUAACUCAAGAAGUGCCUCGGAAACGGUGAGACUAGAGUCUUGGAGAGGGUUGCGGAAUUCCCGGUGUAGCGGUGAAAUGCGUAGAGAUCGGGAGGAACACCAGUGGCGAAGGCGAGUCCCUGGACAACACCUGACACUGAGGCACGAAAGCUAGGGGAGCAAACAGG